UACGUAGGGUGCAAGCGUUGUUCGGAUUCAUUGGGCGUAAAGGGUGCGUAGGUGGCUUGGUAAGUCGGAUGUGAAAUCCCGGGGCUCAACCCCGGAACUGCAUUCGAUACUGCCAGGCUGGAGUACUGGAGAGGAGAUUGGAAUUUACGGUGUAGCAGUGAAAUGCGUAGAUAUCGUAAGGAAGACCAGUGGCGAAGGCGGAUCUCUGGACAGUUACUGACACUGAGGCACGAAGGCCAGGGGAGCAAACGGG
rnacentral:rRNA from 1 species